GCAUAUGGCCAUGCCACCCUGAACAUGCCUGAAGCUGUCUGAUCUUGGAAGCUAAGCAGGGUUGGGCCUGGUUAGCACUUGGACCGCCUAGGUGCUGUAGGCU
rnacentral:rRNA from 1 species